rnacentral:lncRNA from 10 species
CCCCGGUGGAAUGCCUCACCAGAGCAGCGUGUAGCAGUUCCCUGUGGAGGAUUAACACAGUGGCUGAACACCGGGAAGGAACUGGCACUUGGAGUCCGGACAUCUGAAACUUGUAGACUGGGAGCUGUACAUGGAUGGGAGCAGCUUCACCAACCCCUGCAAAGUGACUCUGAAGAAGACGACAAGCCCUGCUCCAGUCACACCCGGAAGCUGACUGGUCCACGCACAGCUGAAGCAUGAGGAAACUCAUCGCGGGACUAAUUUUCCUUAAAAUUUAGACUUGCACAGUAAGGACUUCAACUGACCUUCCUCAGACUGAGAACUGUUUCCAGUAUAUACAUCAAGUCACUGAGAGAACAUCACCACCCUGAAGCCAGAGACUAACACUGCAGGACUCAGCAGUUGCUUCCUUCAGCCUAAGCACAGCAGCCACAGCCCUUUCUGGCUCCAUUGCUGUGGUGUCCCUCAUCUUGCUCCUGGUGGGUCUCUUGUCCAUGACCCUGAAGAAAUGGAGGCAAGAGAGACUAUUUAAGAAACAACUGAGGCAUCAGACCAACUUUCCCCACAAGUCCUCGGAUCUUUCCUGCCAUGCUGAUGCCAUAUAUUCCAACGUGAUCAACCUGGCUCCCCAGAAGGAGGACGACUUUGCUGUCUACACCAACAUGCCCCCUUUUCAUCACC